UUGCGGCCUCAUCAAAUUGAAAAGAUCGGUUCAUGUACGAUCACAGAAGUUAAGCAACGUCGAGCCUUGUCAGUACCUAGAUAGAUGACCGCUUGGGAAUACCAGGUUCUGUAAG